rnacentral:rRNA from 1 species
UACGUAGGUGGCAAGCGUUGUCCGGAUUUAUUGGGUUUAAAGGGUGCGUAGGCGGUCCUAUAAGUCAGUGGUGAAAUACGGCAGCUUAACUGUCGAGGUGCCAUUGAUACUGCAGGACUAGAGUACUGAUGAGGUAGGCGGAAUGGACGGUGUAGCGGUGAAAUGCUUAGAUAUCGGGAGGAACACCAGUGGCGAAGGCGGUUGCCUGGGGCUUUGCUGACGCUGAUGCGCGAAAGCGUGGGGAGCGAUCCGG